rnacentral:rRNA from 1 species
UCACCAAGCCUUUUACCGGUACGGGCCGUGAGAGCGGGAGCCCGGAGAUGGGCACUGAGACAAGGGCCCAGGCCCUACGGGGCGCAGCAGUCGCGAAAACUUUGCAAUACACGAAAGUGUGACAAGGCUAUCCCGAGUGCCAUCCGCUGAGGAAGGCUUUUACCCAGUAUAAAUAGCUGGGAGAAUAAGGAGAGGGCAAGUCUGGUGUCAGCCGCCGCGGUAAUACCAGCUCUCCGAGUAGUGUGGAUGUUUAUUGGGCCUAAAGCAUCCGUAGCUUGCUAAACAAGUCCUCUGUUAAAUCCACCGAUUCAAUCGUUGGAUUGCGGGGGAUACUGUUUGGCUAGGGGACGGGAGAGGCCGACGGUAUUUCCGGGGUAGGGGUGAAAUCCUAUAAUCCCGGGAAGACCACCAGUGGCGAAGGCUGUCGGCUAGAACGCGCCCGACGGUGAGGGAUGAAAGCUGGGGGAGCGAACCGGAUUAGAUACCCGGGUAGUCCCAGCUGUAAACGAUGCAGGCUAGGUGUUUGGGCGGCUACGAGCCGCCCUAGUGCCGCAGGGAAGCUGUUAAGCCUGCCGCCUGGGGAGUACGGCCGCAAGGUUGAAACUUAAAGGAAUUGGCGGGGGAGCACAAGGGCGAAUCGCGCCGCUAUG